UACGAAGGGGGCUAGCGUUGUUCGGAUUUACUGGGCGUAAAGCGCACGUAGGCGGAUUGGUCAGUUAGAGGUGAAAUCCCGAAGCUCAACUUCGGAACUGCCUUUAAUACUGCCAGUCUAGAGUCCGGAAGAGGUAAGUGGAACUCCUAGUGUAGAGGUGGAAUUCGUAGAUAUUAGGAAGAACACCAGUGGCGAAGGCGGCUUACUGGUCCGGUACGUGACGCUGAGGUGCGAAAGCGUGGGGAGCAAACAGGAUUGAGAAACCCUUGGU
rnacentral:rRNA from 1 species